UCCCGCCUCCUUCCCUCGUACUCUCCUCCAAAAGUACACCCUGCUCUGUAUAUACCCUCUUUGUCUCUGUAUACCCUUAAGAAGAAGGAGAAGAAGAAGCUCAACAACUUCAUCAAUGGCUUCUAAUCAACAACUUCAUCAAUGGCCUCUCUCCUUUUGGUAAAGCCCCUCAAAACCCAAUUUCUCUUUUACCUCCCUUUAAUCAAUUUUUCAUCUCAACCCAACAUUUCUUCUGAUUUUGUAUCUGAAAUCUGCUCGGAUACAGAACAUUUUAUCGAUAAAUUGGUUAGGACGGUAUGAGGCUUUGAUUUUUAUUCAUGAUACCACAACCGAACUGUUUUCGUCAAGGAUGUUUGAAAAUUAAUUGUUUUAAUUAUUUUAUUUUUUUUGCUUUGAUUAUGUGAUGCUGCUUUUGUGGAUGAUGAGAUCAAAUAUUUCACAGUUAUCCAUGUCUGAGUCAUUUUUGCUGACUAUUUGUGAUCUGACACAANNNNNNNNNNNNNNNNNNNNNNNNNNNNNNNNNNNNNNNNNNNNNNNNNNNNNNNNNNNNNNNNNNNNNNNNNNNNNNNNNNNNNNNNNNNNNNNNNNNNUGGAUGUUUAAUCUUUUUUGAUAUUUGGAGUGAUGUUCACAUAAAUUUGCAAUACCAAAUAUUGAUAUCUUCCAGCUAUUUUAAAUAAACAAUUGGUUGUGAACUCUGAUCUGCUGGGAAAAAAAAUUAUCGUCAAAACUGCCAAUCAACUUUUGUACAUAUGUUAUCUCGACUUUUGAAGUUUUAUUUCUACAAAAAAAGUAAAAAUUUCACAAGAUUUUCAAUCCAAUAACUAAUAGUAGAAGGGUAGAGGUGAAGAUUUUCAACCCAAGACAGGGCAAUAAGCUGCCCAAACAUAUUUAGAUCCAAAAAGACACCAUAUUAACUACAACAAACAUGCAUGCUCUGAUGCAGAUUCACUUUACACAAUAUAAACAACAAAAUGGUUCCAUCUUCUAGAAGAAGGUGGAGCAACAAACAAAAGUGUGUUGACCAACAUCGUCAAAAAUAGGGUCAUACUUUUAGAAGAAUGUGAAAAACAAGCAGAAGUAUGACAAAAUUAACGUUUAUGUAUCCAAGUACAAGAAGACCAUAUUAACCAUGUAAUAUGGUCAAAAACAAGGUCAUAUUUUCAGAAGAAGGUGAAAAACAGACAGAAGUAUGGCAAAUUAACAUCUAUUGGUAUCCAAGUAUGUCAGAUGAUAGCUGUUUUACCCUGAAGAACAAUUAGUUUGAAAAGGAAAAAAAAAGUGAUUUAGUUUCGAAAUUGGUGUUUAUGUUGGUGUCCUUUCGUAUUACCUGAAGAACAGCUCUCGGCCACGAAAAAUAAGUGAAAACAGGAGAAAGAUUACAUUAGUAAUCUUUUAGUAAUCUUAGACCCAGGAGAAGAGAAAAGUAUAUUACUGCUCCUUUAGUAAUCUUAGACCCAGGACUCAUUGUAUAACAUGACUACAUUAGUAAUCUUGAAAUUAGGAUUUUUUGUAAUCUUGAUUACACCGUACCUUUAAUAAUGUUGAUUACACCGUACCUUUAGUCUGCUCCUUUAGUAAUCUUGAUUAACAAAAAAUCCCAGCACGACGUAACAAUUUUCCCUCGAAUUGGGAUGUUUCAAAUCUGCAUCAAGAUCUUCGAACCCGAAAAAAAACAAAACAAAUUGGCAGCACCUAACUGAAAGGUACCUGAUUCAAUUCGAGUUGUCUCAAAUUUACCGUCCCAUUGACAAUAACCUUAAAUUUUAAGGUCACAUUGAGCCCAAUAGUAACACUGAGUCCUUGAACAAUUUUUCAUCGCCCGAAAUGGUAAAGUCCCUCAAAACCCAAUUUCUCUUUUACCUCCAUUUAAUCAAUUUUUCAUCUCAACCCAACAUUUCUUCUGAUUUUGUAUCUGAAAUCUUCUCGGAAACCGAACAUUUUAUGCUAAUCAUUUGGUGUUCGAAGUUGGUGUUCCUGUUGAAAACUUGUUCUAACAUUAUAUUAUGCUAAUCAUUUUAUGCUAACGAAUUCUUUUUACUUUUUUACAUGAAUCUCUUAUUUGGUAUACCCAUUACUCUUGGUUCAUCACGAUAUUGAUCUACAAUAUUUCAGGCAAUAACAAGUACUCAUUGGACCAAAGUUUGAGCCAGAUUUAACAUAUAGCUGCUAAGGUUAGAAUUUCUGUUCCAAUUUCCCUUUUUCUUCUUUUCCUGGCCCGAAGUUAAAUAAUCAUAAGAAAUAAUUCAUUGAUUGAUGUGAUGCAUAGGGAUUACAUGCUUGAAUUAAGUUCUGGUAUGUGACAUAGCGUAUCUAACACAUAGUCAUACUAAUGCUUGGGAGAUUUGGGAGGAGGGGGGAUAGAGAGAGAAUAAUAUUAUUCAAAGUGCCUUUAAAUCUAUAAAUCUCCUAGCUAAAGAGGACAGUCCAAUUUGGUUAGGCUUCCCAGUUUUUAUUUGGAAAAGAAUUUUGCUUAACAUAUAAUUUUGAGUGCAUCUCAUUCUUUCAGUUUGAAUAUGUAUUAAUUCAAGCAUGUAGUCCCUAUUUCAUGAACAAAAACUCAGUUAAACUGCACAAAGUAUAAAUGUAUACUACCACUUUAGUUACAGGACAUGCUAAUUCGGUAUAAUCUGAUUCUUAGUCAAUAAACAGUAGUCUACUCUCUGAAGUAAUUUGUGAUUUUCAAAGCAAAUUGUGCAGAAUCUUAUGAGUUUUGUCCUCGAAAGAAAUGCACAUGUUAUGUUCGAUAAAUUGCCUCUAAGAGGCUAUCAAGUAUAAAAAGGGAGAGUUGGUCAAGAUUGUUAAUAGAGAAGUCUUCAUAUAUGUUAGAUGAUGUACAUGGAGUAAUUUAUGUAAGCCCAAUGAGGGUUGGAACCUGUUUUGGAAGAAAUGAUAUGUUAAGGCACU
rnacentral:lncRNA from 1 species